rnacentral:misc_RNA from 1 species
UCUCCGUAGGUGAACCUGCGGAGGGAUCAUUACAGAGUUCUCGCCCUCGCGGGUAGAUCUCCCACCCACUGUUAUUUCUACCGUGUUCCUUUGGCGGGCUGCUGUGCCUAGCCUGGCCGCCGGCCCCGGCUGGUGCGCCCGCCAGCGGUCCGACAAAUUACGAUUGUCAGUGCAGUCUGAGUAAUAUUUAAUAGUUAAAACUUUCAACAACGGAUCUCUUGGUUCUG